AGGCGUGGUCUGUGGAAUGCCAAGUGGAGCACAGUUCCCAGCCUGGGACACACUUGCCACAGGACACCUGUGCAUGCCCAAGAGCUGGGGAGGCAGCAGGCAACCGGAGAAGCACAGCACACACGUGCCAUGACUACUCAUCUCACAGCACCAGGGACGUCAUCUUGGGAGAUAGCUUACCCUUCUGAACCUCGGUUUCUUCAUGAAUAAAGGAGCCUAACUUGAAAGGAUAGUCAAAUAAAUUAUAAAGCUUUUACCACAGGGCCAGGUACAGUAGGUGCUCAACAAGUGGUAGCCAUUAUUAUCAUUUAUUAUGCUUCAGAAUAACAACCAGAAACUAAGACAUCAAUGCAACGUUUGUGGAUGAUUUUCUCAUAUAGAUUAAGAAAGUCUGGAUUGGAAAUCCAGCUGAGUUACAGGAAAAUUACUCCCUUUACAAAAGAUUUUACCACAGACUUCCUUUAAAUAGCCCCCGAGGGCAUAUGGAGAGGGAUUACAUAACCGUAUUGUAGAAAAAUCCUGAUUUUAUUUAACAGAAAAAAUGUCUGGAAAGUUAAACACCAGAAUUUUAACUAUGGCUAUUUCCUGACACUGGUACUAAAUGUGAACUAUUUUCUUCUUUAUUCUGUUUAAUGAGCACUUACAGGGGAGAUGGGUUUGAACUGAGUCUUGAAGGAUAAUAGAAAUUCAUCAGGUAGAGCAAGGAGAAAGAUGAACCUGGCGGAAAGCA
rnacentral:lncRNA from 1 species